rnacentral:tRNA from 1 species
GGAAGUAGCUCAGUGGUAGAGCACUUGCCUAGUAUGUGCUAGGCCCUGAGUUCAAUCCCCAGCACCA